rnacentral:ncRNA from 2 species
CUUCCCAAGGAGCGUUGCAGCGGUUCGCCACAGAGGCGAAUCGUCAGGCUUGGGGCGACAACGACGCUCGCCUGUU